GUCCCAACACCAUCCCUUCCAGUAGCCCUGGGUGGAUAAGUCACUUUACUUUGUGCAUUCUUUCAAAAGUAAGGGCCUUAUCCAUAGAGGCUGCUGGGAAAGAACUUACCAGCCAAAC
rnacentral:precursor_RNA from 15 species